AAAAAGGGUUCCUGUGGUGAGUGGCGCAUGUAGAGCAGCUUGAUUGCUCUAUGUGUGGAAUCGACAUCACGGGAUUUCGGAAGCAUUCGCUUUUGGUACUUGGGCAGCUGGUGAUCAUUGGUCCUGGCGCCUGC